GACGUAGGGUGCGAGCGUUGUCCGGAUUUACUGGGCGUAAAGGGCGCGUAGGCGGCGUGUCAAGUCAGGCGUGAAAGCCCCGGGCUCAACCUGGGAACCGCGCUUGAGACUGGCAUGCUCGAGUUCGGGAGAGGAUGGUGGAAUUCCCAGUGUAGAGGUGAAAUUCGUAGAUAUUGGGAAGAACACCGAUGGCGAAGGCAGCCAUCUGGACCGACACUGACGCUGAGGCGCGAAAGCGUGGGGAGCAAACAGG
rnacentral:rRNA from 1 species